rnacentral:misc_RNA from 1 species
CGCAUAUUGCGCCCUUUGGUAUUCCUUAGGGCACACCUGUUCGAGCGUCAUUACACCAAUCAAGCCUCGCUUGGUAUUGGGCGAUGCGGCGGCCUUCGCGCCCCCGCACGCCUCAAAUUCGACCGGCCGAGCCGUCUCGUCUCUCAGCGUUGUGGAAACUAUUCGCUCUGGGAUUCGGUGGCCCGCACGCCGUCUAAACCUAUCAAUUUACCAAGGUUGACCUCGGAUCAGGUGGGGAUACCCGCUGAACUUAA